UGACAAAUGCAGAUGUAUAUGUUUGGAGCC
rnacentral:piRNA from 1 species